rnacentral:lncRNA from 1 species
UUCCCAGUGGUAAAAAUAUAAAUAACGAUACCUGGAAUACUUCUCGGUUAAAAUGCUGCAUCGGUAUUAAUCUGUGCGCUUGCAGAUCCCAUUCAUUAUUUAUUUAGAAGAGCAAUUGCAUAUUUUAAUACCGCGUCUCUUAUAUCAUGCUGGGGAUGACAACUUGGCUUAAGUGGUGUGAGGGAUAGGUUUGGCAUUUUUGGCACCGUUACUAGAUUUAGAGAACUUAGUCUACUUUUGGUAAUGAUAUUAAGAAUACCCAACAGCCACCACAUUACUCGAAUUGCCUCCGCUAGCCGCCUUGUGUGAUCUCUCGCCGCCGCGCUAACCCUAGAUAGGUUGUCAGCCGCUGUUAUUUUGCCUGCUUCGCAGCCCUCCUUAUAUCAUCAGGCGAAUACCUACUCCUGUUAGUCAUAGGGACGAUUCAUCCUGUGAUCGGUGUUAGAGUUUAGGGACGCUUUGCCCUAACUGCCGCCGCCGCCGCCGACGCUGUGUUGUGCCUUUUGAAAAACAUAACUUGAGAUACCUUCGGUAAAACAUACAUAACUUUUCGCUCGUUUAUCAAAAAAAUCUGAAAUUUUUAUAGCAGCUUCUUGAUAUCAUUUGGACCCGAGCCAAACUCACCUUUGGCUUGUUUGGUUUCAGCAAAAUUGCUAAAAUAAUCAGGAAAAUAAAGAAAAGAAAUUGACAAGGGUUUUGCACGCUUUUCAAAGAACUUGCUCAAUUUUUGUAGACCAUAUCUGACAUCAGUUGCGGUGCCCAUUUUUGUGGUUAUAUCUUUUGUGAUCCUUGUUUAGAGAAAAAUAUAAAAAAAAUAGUGAAAAAAUAAAAAAUCUUCAUUCCUACUAGUGCCUUUUGGGAAAAUCUAGGAAAAAUCAAGAUAAAAGAAAAAUCUGCUCUAUUGCUUGUUUGCUGAGUUUCUUCCAUCAUACUUUGUUUCAUCUUGUUGCGCUACGUCUAGACACGUCUUAGCCCGUAAUUAUGAUUUGUUCUUUGAAUACUUAUUGAACUUAGCUAACUCUGUAUUCGAAUAUUGCUAAUCCUUGCUACUUACAUUAUGCAUGUCAUAUACUUCUGUCAGCACAGGUUCAUCUUGCAACUAUUUACCCACGCUCAACAACAGAUUACUUUGCUAAUUGGUUUUACUCCUGUUUGGCUUUGGUAAGAACACUUGUAAGACGAUGGUAAGCCGCUUUCUGAUUU